CGUUCGUUCGAGCUUUGGACCGAUCGACAAUAUUUAAAAAGGUUACACUGUAUCUAAACACCUAUUAUUUCUUUUCACAGAAACGGAAUUUUUCAUAUGGUUUCCCGUAAUUUUCAAACACAUUGCUUCAGUGUUAUUAUGUUUAUCCUAACGGCUUAUUACAUUAUCAAAGUGAAAAGAGAACUGAACCGGUUUAAAGUACAGGAGGAGACGACGGUGACCUGCCUUAAUUUCGACAGUCAGACAUAUCUACAGUUUCUGCGAAUCUCUGUCUUGAUGGGCGUUUUUUAUAUAAUUUUUUCAAUUUUAUACAUUUUUAGACAAAGCUAUUUUUAUAAACCGCUAAUUAGGGUUGCCAACUGUUUCGAACGCUUUUAUGGUGCUUUCGUUUUUUUUAUGCUCAUUCCAAGACGCAGCACACUUAGCCUGCUAGUGGAUAGCUAUCGGAAGAAGAAGAGAGACAAAAGGGUCGGCGAUGCCUGUGCAGCGCAAUCUUAAAAGUUCCACUGAAUUGCUCCGCAGUCCUAAUUUUAUUAUUUGC